rnacentral:rRNA from 1 species
UACGUAGGGGGCGAGCGUUGUCCGGAAUCAUUGGGCGUAAAGCGCGUGUAGGCGGCUCGAUAAGUCCGGUGUGAAACCUUGGGGCUCAACCCCAAGCCUGCACUGGAUACUGCCGAGCUAGAGUCCGGGAGGGGAGAGCGGAAUCCUAGUGUAGCGGUGAAAUGACGCAGAUAUUAGGAAGAACACCGGUGGCGAAGGCGGCUAGCUCUGGAACCGGUACUGGAACGGCUGAGACGCGAAAGCGUGGG